AAUCCAUAGGUUAAUGAGGCGAACCGGGGGAACUGAAACAUCUAAGUACCCCGAGGAAAAGAAAUCAACCGAGAUUCCCCCAGUAGCGGCGAGCGAACGGGGAGGAGCCCAGAGCCUGAAUCAGCAUGUGUGUUAGUGGAAGCGUCUGGAAAGGCGCGCGAUACAGGGUGACAGCCCCGUACACAAAAGCGCAUGUGCUGUGAGCUCGAUGAGUAGGGCGGGACACGUGGUAUCCUGUCUGAAUAUGGGGGGACCAUCCUCCAAGGCUAAAUACUCCUGACUGACCGAUAGUGAACCAGUACCGUGAGGGAAAGGCGAAAAGAACCCCGGCGAGGGGAGUGAAAAAGAACCUGAAACCGUGUACGUACAAGCAGUGGGAGCCCCACCACCAAAGCAUUUGCUGUACCGC
rnacentral:rRNA from 1 species